rnacentral:tRNA from 1 species
CUAGGAAGACAGGCCUCGAUCCUAUAAUAUUUUAGUUAACAGCUAAACGCUCAAUCCAGCGAGCUUCAUCCUA